ACGGAGAGAGAAGGAUUAGGACACAAGCAAGCACGUUGUUGCCGCCACAACCUCAUUAUAUACAUAGUCAGCUCACUAAAUCAUUUUAUUUUUUUCUUUUCUUUGAUAAAAUUUUAAUACUUUUUCUUCAUACAUUGAAACAAUAAUACAGACUUUCUCUGUUUUAUUUCUUUAGGAUCUACGUAGGUAUAUCCCUCAGGUUGCAGUUUUCG